AAUGAACGCUGGCGGCAUGCCUUACACAUGCAAGUCGAACGGUAACAGGGAGCUUGCUCCGCUGACGAGUGGCGAACGGGUGAGUAAUGCAUCGGAACGUGCCCAGUCGUGGGGGAUAACGCAGCGAAAGCUGUGCUAAUACCGCAUACGAUCUAUGGAUGAAAGCGGGUGACAGUAAGGCCCCGCGCGAUUGGAGCGGCCGAUGUCAGAUUAGCUAGUUGGUGGGGUAAAGGCCCAACAAGGCGACGAUCGGGAGCUGGUCUGAGAGGACUGCCAGCGACACUGGGACUGAGACACGGCCCAGACUCCUACGGGAGGCAGCAGUGGGGAAUUUUGGACAAAGGGCGCAAGCCUGAUCCAGCAAUGCCGCGUGCAGGAAGAAGGCCUUCGGGUUGUAAACUGCUUUUGUACGGAACGAAACGGCCUGGGUUAAUACCCUGGGCUAAUGACGGUACCGUAAGAAUAAGCACCGGCUAACUACGUGCCAGCAGCCGCCGUAACAC
rnacentral:rRNA from 1 species